rnacentral:rRNA from 1 species
UACGUAGGGUGCAAGCGUUGUCCGGAAUUAUUGGCGUAAAGAGCUCGUAGGCGGUCUGUCGCGUCUGCUGUGAAAAACUCGGGGCUUAACCCCGGGCCUGCAGUGGGUACGGGGCAGACUAGAGUGCGGUAGGGGAGACUGGAAUUCCUGGUGUAGCGGUGAAAUGCGCAGAUAUCAGGAGGAACACCGGUGGCGAAGGUGGAUCUCUGGGCCGUAACUGACGCUGAGGAGCGAAAGCAUGGGGGAGCGAACAGG